rnacentral:rRNA from 1 species
ACGUACGCUGGCGGCACGCCUAACACAUGCAAGUCGAACGAAGUAGCAAUACUUAGUGGCGAACGGGUGAGUAUAAUGUGGGUAUCUGCCUUUUGGUUUGGAAUAACACGGGGAAACUUGUGCUAAUACUAGAUAAGCCUUUACAGGGAAAGCUUUAGCGCCGAAAGAUGAGCCCACACUUGAUUAGCUAGUUGGUAAGGUAAUGGCUUACCAAGGCUACGAUCAAUAGUUGAUCUGAGAGGAUGAUCAGCCACAUUGGGACUGAGACACGGCCCAAACUCCUACGGGAGGCAGCAGUGGGGAAUCUUGCACAAUGGGGGAAACCCUGAUGCAGCGAUGCCGCGUGAGUGAAGAAGGCCUUUGGGUUGUAAAGCUCUUUCGUCGGGGAAGAAAAUGACUGUACCCGAAUAAGAAGGUCCGGCUAACUUCGUGCCAGCAGCCGCGGUAAUACGAAGGGACCUAGCGUAGUUCGGAAUUACUGGGCUUAAAGAGCUCGUAGGUGGUUAGAAAAGUUAGUGGUGAAAUCCCAAGGCUUAACCUUGGAACUGCCACUAAAACUUUUUAACUAGAGUAUGAUAGAGGAAAGUGGAAUUUCUAGUGUAGAGGUGAAAUUCGUAGAUAUUAGAAAGAACACCAAUUGCGAAGGCAGCUUUCUGGAUCAUUACUGACACUGAGGAGCGAAAGCAUGGGUAGCGAAGAGGAUUAGAUACCCUCGUAGUCCAUGCCGUAAACGAUGUGUGCUAGACGUUGGAAAUUUAUUUUUCAGUGUCGCAGCAAAAGCGUUAAGCACACCGCCUGGGGAGUACGACCGCAAGGUUAAACUCAAUGAAUUGACGGGC